GCCCGCGGCCUAUCAGGUAGUUGGUGAGGUAACGGCUCACCAAGCCGACGACGGGUAGGGGGCGUGAGAGCGUGGCCCCCCACACGGGAACUGAGACACGGUCCCGACGCCUACGGGCGGCAGCAGUGAGGAAUCUUGCCCAAUGGGGGAAACCCUGAGGCAGCGACACCGCGUGCGGGAUGAAGGCCUUCGGGUCGUAAACCGCUUUUCUGGGGGACGAGUAAGGACGGUACUCCAGGAAUAAGUCCCGGCUAACUACGUGCCAGCAGCCGCGGUAAAACGUAGGGGGCGAGCGUUAUCCGGAAUCACUGGGCGUAAAGGGCGUCUAGGCGGCAGCCUAAGUCCCGUGUGAAAGCUCCCGGCUCAACUGGGAGAGGGCAUGGGAGACUGGGCAGCUAGAGACUCGGAGGGGGGUGUGGAAUUCCCGGUGGAGUGGUGGAAUGCGUUGAGAUCGGGAGGAACACCAGUAGCGAAGGCGGCACCCUGGCCGAGAUCUGACGCUGAAGCGCGAGAGCGUGGGGAGCGAACGGGAUUAGAUACCCCGGUAGUCCACGCCGUAAACGAUGACAACUAGGUGUUGGGUGUCCAAGGAUGCUCAGUACCGCAGCAAACGCGAUAAG
rnacentral:rRNA from 1 species